rnacentral:rRNA from 1 species
UACGGGGGGGGGUAAGCGUUGUUCGGAAUUACUGGGCGUAAAGGGCUCGUAGGCGGCCAACUAAGUCAUACGUGAAAUCCCUCAGCUUAACUGGGGAACUGCGUGUGAUACUGGAUGGCUUGGAUUUGGGAGAGGGAUGCGGAAUUCCAGGUGUAGCGGUGAAAUGCGUAGAUAUCUGGAGGAACACCGGUGGCGAAGGCGACAUCCUGGACCGGUAUUGACGCUGAGGCGCGAAAGCCAGGGGAGCAAACGGG